rnacentral:lncRNA from 1 species
CGGCACGAGGUCAAAGACCCAAAAGUGUGCGAAGUAGGAUCCUCGGGAAUACCAGAUUUUUAUCUCUAUGGCAGAGCACGUGACUGCUGAGGGCAUUGUCGGGGUAAGUUUUUUUCGACUACUUGCUGGGAGCACAUCCGUGAUCUGUUGAACAAGAAGGCUAGGAAGGAUUGGACGAUCGCUCAGCUCAAAAACCACUAGCAAGUUAUGCGAACGGAGCACGAGCUUUUUAUGAAUUGCUCUAAUGCUCUGGAAUUCAGUAUAGGUUGAACAAUGGGGGCAGAAUCAAAGUGGCGGACUGGUGGUAGAAGCAGAAAUUGAAGGUAAUAAUGAACUGCCCGUAAUCAUAAUCUCCCUGUUUGUCUUGCCAUAUGAUUGUCCACUUUACACUUGUUGAACAUGAUUAUACUUUACCUAUUUCCGACUACCCUCACUACAUAAUGCGAAUCUUCAUAAUGUGUUGUGCUGCUUUUGUAAAAAUACAAUUGGAAUGCAUAAUUUAUAGUUGUCGUUACCUUUGUUGUUGCCAACUUCAUAGGAUGCAGUACAAGCUGCCUUGUCAUUUCGAAAACUGAAAUGCAAUCUACUAGGAACCAUGUACGUUUAGGACUUAUUCCAAACCCAUGUCCGCUGCUUGCACUAUGUUUUUGCAAAUUUCUAGUUAUGCUUUAGUUGAAUGUGGAAUUGCAUGAUCUCGUUGUUCUCUUUUUUUUUUUUUUUUUUUUUUUUUUUUACGCCAUACUAUGUCCCACUGUGAUAUGCACAUGGAAUUGAUAUCAUUAACCUAGUGCAGGAGAAUCCAAAGUAUGGAAAGUUUAAGGACAGUGACAACAGAGAAAUUUACCACACUUACA